rnacentral:lncRNA from 1 species
CACUCGUCGGGGCUUCGCUCGUCUCCAGAGAUUUCGCCUGAAGAGAAGAAACCCACGAGGGAUCCGCAGAUGAAGAUAAUUCCGGUACCUUGCCUGGAGGACAACUAUGCCUACCUGUACGAAUCGGCCUCUGCGUCGCUUGUUUGCCCCUUUCCUUCAGCGAUUCGUUUGGAGUCAUUGAGUUUGAGUUCCUGAUCUGCUAUUUGUUUUAAUUCCUUUCCAAGAAUCGUGGACGAGAGCACCAAGAAGGCGGCGGCCGUUGACCCGGUGGAGCCGGAGAAGGUUCUCAAGGCUGCCAGCGAGGUCGGCGCCUACGUCGACUGCGUCCUCACCACCCACCACCACUGGUAUACCAUCGUCUCCUUCCAGCUCUCUUUGGGUUCAGUACUUGCUAGUGUUAGAGCAUCCUGAUUCUUGCUUGCUAGAGUUGUUGAACAUCAUCUUAUUACCAUAUUAGAGUUGGGGUCACAAAAGGGCUUCAUAUGUAGGCAUUUAUUACUAGCUAAUAGAUCCGGUUAGUGCCAGGGAUUGGUCCAGUCACAAACACUCAAUUAAUCCAGUUAUUACAUAAUUGCUGUAAGGGUUUGUGAGUGACUACAGAUAUGCACAUAGGAAUUCAAUAGAUGGACCUUCCCAACUUGCGAUUUUGCUAUUCUCUGAGUCUAAUUGCUACAUGGACCGUGGAAGUAGAAAACUAUUGUGUAAUACAUACCGUGUUGAAUGUUGUUUGCUGGUAAUGAAGUUCACAAAGUAUUUGCUAUUGCUAAAACGUCCUUGCAAAAAAAAACAAAGAAAGAAAGAAAGAAAAAAGGAAAGUAAGGUCUCAGGGAAUAUGCAGCUAGCAGCUUCUUGUUCACUAUGCUAUGUUGAAGAAUGCAAUUUUAAGGAAUGAAGAAACCAGCUUCCAGUCAGGAAAUGCGGUUGAUUAUGCAAUGGAAGUGCUUGACGUAUGUGAUGUGUUCUUGGGCUUAGUUGUUUUCCAUUCUUAGAGUAGUCUAUUUUCACUCUAAAUUUGCAACAUGCUGUUUAGACUGCUGGGGAGUAGGCUUUCUCAUCACUCAUCUGUGAUGUAACAUCUAGUGUGAAGUGUACUUAUGUGAUGCUUUCACCUCUUCAAUGGAAUGGGGGAUUUCUCCUGCUCCACUUCUAAAAAGUGCAAAUCGACUACAAUGUCAAAUAGGUAGUCAAAAAGGUCUAUGCUUUAAAAAUAAUUAUCGUGUGGCAGAAAGUACUCUGCGUGAACCAAAAAUGAACAGGUGUUGGUGAACUUCAUGGCAAUUUUCUACUAUAUUAUUAAUGGAUCGUGCAACUGAUUUUGUGCUUCUAGGGAUCAUGCUGGUGGCAAUGAGAAGAUGAGACUGCAGGUGCCAGGGAUAAAGGUCUAUGGAGGAUCCCUGGACAAUGUGAAAGGCUGCACUGAUCAGGUGGAGAAUGGAACAAAGUUGUCACUUGGGAAUGACAUUGAGAUACUAUGCCUACACACUCCUUGGUAUGCGAUUAACUAUGCUAUUCUCUUGGCCUAUUUCACUUCCCUAGCGUGCUUUUUUUUUCAGUACCAUAGAAACAGUCACUUCUUGAGUAAGGCUGAUUUAUUUACAAAAUUCAAACUACCAAAUAAGAGUCCUUUGAAAUUAUGAAUUUAGUAUAAUAUACAGCUCCUAGUUCACUUUAGAAAAAUUUAUAACUUUCUCCUUUUGAGGCUCUUUUAUAUCCAAGGAACCUGCAUCAAGGAGCGGCACAUACACGCUAUUAGUGUUACUUAAAAGACUUAGCUGAGCUCUGAUAAAUCCUCACGUGAAUUAUGCAUGGGAGUUUUAUUUGUGUUUGCUUAGUAGAAGCUUUUUGAUAAUUUUUUUUCUGGUCCCUGCCGUUUUGUUUCUUCAACAGUCACACAAAAGGUCAUAUUAGCUACUAUGCUACUAGUAAAGAGGGGGAAGAUCCAGUGGUCUUCACUGGAGACACUUUGGUUAGUAUAUGCACCUGACUUACUCUGAUGUCUCCUUUCAUCUUUAUAUCCUAACCUUUUUAUAAAUAAACACAGUUCAUUGCUGGUUGUGGGAGGUUUUUUGAGGGUACUGCAGAGCAAAUGUAUCAGUCCCUUAUUGUUACAUUGGGCUCGCUGCCAAAGUCAACUCAGGUUUACUGUGGGCAUGAGGUAUGAUCUCUUGUUUUCAUACCGGAUUCUUCCUGUCAUCCCAUAAUGCUAGGCUUUCAUCCUGGAGGAACCUGAAUGUCAUUGAAUCUGUAUUGUAUAUAAAUAACUAUGUUGUUCCUUUACCAUUUAGUAUGGAAUAUUUUAUUAUCAAUGACCGAAGGGCAUGUACAGUUUUACUUUGCAUUUUCUGGUUUGUUCUCUUAGGAAUAGGUAGUUUCUAGAUUGUCCAAUGAUUUAUCAGAUGUCUUCUAUAAUUGGUUGAAUGCCUUUUUAAUGCAUUUGUGUUCCCCAGAAUGGAAUCCAGUAGCAAUGGGAUAAUAUGAUGGAUUUAUGUUUUCUUGUGCCUCCUUUUGUUCCCUCUAAUAGAGGAGAAUUAUAGAUAUGUAGCAUAUACGUUCAUUUGUUGCUGGGCUCUUUGCUUUUCCAUUUCAUGUGCUAUCUUGAUAACAGAUGAUUUACAUGUGAGCUACUUGUUCAUGUUCUUUGUUAUUCCCAUUGUUGAAUUUCGACUUCCUUUUGAACUUCACUUGUAAAAGAUGCUGGAAACUUGAGUGAAAACAUGCAUCAUAACAGCCUUAACAAGAAGACAAUAACCACCAAUAUUCGAUCAUUUUGGUUUAUUUUCUUAAUAUGGUAUACUAAUUGGCUUGGUCGUAGAUACAUACUAUUUUCUUAGCAGUUGCAUGUUGACUUGCAGUACACUGUGAAGAGCCUAAAAUUCAUGCUGACACUCGAGCCGGAGAAUGAGAAGAUGAAACAGAAACUGGAAUGGGCUGAAAAGCAGCGUGAAGCAAAUCAGCCUACAGUCCCUUCAACUAUAGGAGAUGAGUUUG